rnacentral:rRNA from 1 species
GACGAACGCUGGCGGCGUGCUUAACACAUGCGAGUCGAACGGAAAGGCCCUGCUUUUGUGGGGUGCUCGAGUGGCGAACGGGUGAGUAACACGUGAGUAACCUGCCCUUGACUUUGGGAUAACUUCAGGAAACUGGGGCUAAUACCGGAUAGGAGCUCCUGCUGCAUGGUGGGGGUUGGAAAGUUUCGGCGGUUGGGGAUGGACUCGCGGCUUAUCAGCUUGUUGGUGGGGUGGUGGCUUACCAAGGCUUUGACGGGUAGCCGGCCUGAGAGGGUGACCGGCCACAUUGGGACUGAGAUACGGCCCAGACUCCUACGGGAGGCAGCAGUGGGGAAUAUUGCACAAUGGGCGGAAGCCUGAUGCAGCAACGCCGCGUGCGGGAUGACGGCCUUCGGGUUGUAAACCGCUUUCGCCUGUGACGAAGCGUGAGUGACGGUAAUGGGUAAAGAAGCACCGGCUAACUACGUG